rnacentral:sRNA from 1 species
CGACCCUUUUUAAGCCGAGGGUCACCUAGCCAACUGACGUUGUUAGUGAACCUCUAUUUGUUCACACUUGUAUAUGGCCAGUCACGAUCAUUGUGGCUGGCCUUUUUUCU